rnacentral:rRNA from 1 species
AGAUUGAACGCUGGCGGCAUGCUUUACACAUGCAAGUCGAACGGCAGCGCGGGGCAACCUGGCGGCGAGUGGCGAACGGGUGAGUAAUAUAUCGGAACGUACCCAAGAGUGGGGGAUAACGUAGCGAAAGUUACGCUAACACCGCAUACGAUCUAAGGAUGAAAGCAGGGGAUCUUCGGACCUUGUGCUCCUGGAGCGGCCGAUAUCUGAUUAGCUAGUUGGUGAGGUAAAGGCUCACCAAGGCUACGAUCAGUAGCUGGUCUGAGAGGACGACCAGCCACACUGGAACUGAGACACGGUCCAGACUCCUACGGGAGGCAGCAGUGGGAAUUUUGGACAAUGGGCGAAAGCCUGGAUCAGCAAUGCCGCGUGAGUGAAGAAGGCCUUCGGUUGUAAAGCUCUUUGUCAGGAAGAACGGUUCGGCUAAUAUCCGUGGCUAAGUGACGGUACCUGAAGAAUAAGACACCGGACUAACUACGUGCCAGCAGCCGCGUAACG